AACGAACGCUGGCGGCAGGCUUAACACAUGCAAGUCGAACGGAUGCCUCCUGCUAUGAGUGGGAGACGGGGGCGCAACGCGGGGGAACCCACCUCAGUAUACGGGAUAGCUCCGGGAAACAGCAGAUAAUACCGGAUGUUUCCUCAGGGUCAAAGAUUCAUCGCCAAGGGAUGGGUCCGAGUCGGAUUAGCGAGGGGGUGGGGUAACGGCCUGCCAAGGCGAGGGUCCGUAGCUGGUCUAAGCGGAGGAUCAGCCACGUUGGGGCUGGGACACGGCCCAAAAUCCUAGGGAAGGGAGGAGUGGGGAAUAUAGGGGGAGGGGCGCAAGCCUGAUACAGCCAUGCCGGGUGAGUGGUGAAGGGGGUAGGGUUGUGAAGCUCUUUGACAGGUGGCGAUAGUGACGGUAACCGGAGAAGAAGCACCGGCUAACUUCGUG
rnacentral:rRNA from 1 species